UCAAAGCAGCGCUUUUCGAAAGGAUCUGGAAGAAUGUUGGAGGGAAUUGGAGUGUCGAGAGACAGAAAAUGGGGAGGAAGAACGGUGGCGAAUCGUCGGAAAAGGCUGGCUACUGGAGCAGCGUAGAUUAGUUGAUAAAACGAGAUGUUUGUCAGUGAUAAAACAAUCUUGGGACAAAUAUUGUCGGAGGGCAGCGACCCCGGAGCUUAUGUCGGAGAAAAGAAGCAAAGAGGCGACCUAUUUUGAGGCUGGUAAUUUGGACAAGUGCGCGAUUGGCAAAAGGAAAACUCCGAGUAAACAUUGAGGCUGAAGGGAGGCUGCAAAAAAAAGAGAGAGAUCGGGAGAGUGAAAAAGAGGAAAGGAAAUGAAUAAUACAAGAAGAAAGGGAGGAACUGGUGAGACGAGGUCACCGAUGCCGGAAAUACACACGUACGAAAAUCGCUUUCGUUGCACUCUUGGCAAGAGGAGAAAAUAGUGCGAGCUCGUGGUGUGGUUUAGUCGGCGCGAAUUUGGGACGAGCGAGUACCCGAAACUUUUUAUCCGGAGCGUAAAAACUGGGGGGAGAAAAACCAAAUCUCUUCGUGCUCUCCCAUCGAAUCCUCCGAUUCAUUUUUCCACGAGCUCCAAAAAGCGAUUUUCUACUUUCCGAAUAUCCGGCGCCCGAAUUCCGAAGCACAAGUCGAUUAUUAGUUUUCGACGCAUGGAUGAUCCACCGGUGACGAGUCUCAUUCCCGUCUGUCGAUAGACGUUACAGCGAAAAGCGUCUGAAAAACGAGUGCAGUAAUGAGAUGAAAAUAUUUUAAAAUGGGACGCGAGUUUUCAAGAGCUCGAUGAAAAACCAGAGUUUUCACGUGACGACUGCGCCCGUGAAUCAACGUCAAAUUUCCGUCUCCCUUUCGCCGUAUUUGCCCGAGUCGAAUGCACGUAAAUAAUCAACCACCGAGUGAUGAGUACCGAGUGAGAGAGACUUAUAAGUUACCAAAGAACAGGCCGACCCAGUCUCGAGGGUUUUAAUGGCGAGGGAGUGUACUGGAUGUGUUUCGUACGAGGGUGCGAUGGGCUUUAAAUUUCGGAGCCCUCAUGUGUUCAGGAUGCGUAGUAUAUUUCUCCUCUCUCCUCUCUCUCUCUUCUUCCAUUUCUCUUUCUCCCUUCAGACUUUCUUCCCUUCUGUCACUCUCGCUGCUUUCUCUUUCUGGCUCUCUCGGUUGUCUCUCGACUUCGCCCACUCCUUCUUCCUCGCACUCGAUUCUCUCUUAUUCUCGCUCUCUCUGGCCCAAGAUCUCGAUACACAUUCGUCUCGUUCUCUCUCACCCGCAAAAGCUGAGGGGCGAUGACACACGCCCAAUAUAACUCAGGCAUUAGUGCCUGCGUGUUCGUCGGUGCGUGAGAGCAGCUCUCCUUCGUGGCUCCGUUUCCCUCUCUGUAUCAUUUCUCGUCUGCCUCUUCCGUUCUCGCUCUCUUUGCCUCGCAAUAUUUUCUCCGUCGCUCGUUCUCCCUUUUCGCAUCUCCGUGUGCACUCUCGCGGAUGCACGUGCUCCCUCUCUCGCCCCGACUUUUUCUCUCGUCCGUGGCUGUAACGCGCGCGUAUAUUUGGUGCUUCGAUCGACGGGUAUGUGCGGGCUCGGGGAGGGGGAACGCUCGGCGAGAGUGGAGCCAGAGAGGCGAGUUCUUUAUCUGUCCUAACGACUUUUCGUCCAGACGGGAUCGCGUACUCGCAGACAUCGGAGGAAAAACGCGGCUGAGGGCCACCCCCAAAAAACGUAGCCCCUGAAACGCGCUUUGGCCACGAAACAUCGUCGUUUCGGGGAGUCCGAUUCGACUCCACGGGACCGGCCAAUGAAUCCAGCUUUCCGAACGACGCGUACUUUCGUUUGAAAAUCUCGUUAUUGGAUGAGGAAACGAGGGAAAAACAUUCGCGACGAGAAAAAACGAGAAUGAUUUUUGGACUUUUUCCAGCAACUUUUACCCUCCAAUUUUAGAGGGAUCUUCGGAGGACGUGACUGCAAAAAAGAGAACGACAAUCGCGAGCUCACGGAGAAGAAGGAAACCGCCGGUCCCGGAGCUCGAUAACGUCUGUACGGUUGGCUCGAUAAUAGGCGAGGAGCGCUAUCGUUGCGGGGCUCUUUCUCUCUCCGAAGGCCUCUGCACCGUCGACGUCCAGCGUUUGUACUCGUGCUCUCGUGAUCAACCGGAUGUUGAGGGUCGAGAGCCUGAGCUCCGUAUAAAUUUGAGGAAGCGCAGACUUGGAAAAAACCAUGGAAGGAAGAGAGCCGUCUGCGAAGAAGCAGGUGCCGGAAAAUGAGACGAACUCGGGCGACGUGUUACAUGCGAUAAAAUUAUCGACGCAACUUGGCGUUUGAAGAAUAAGGAAGUACGAGAGUGCUCAGGUUCGACGAAGGAGAAGAACAUUGAGAAAAAAACGACGAAGAGCAGGAGAUGGACAGGCGAAAAAGAGAAAAAACGAGCAGGAGCAUAGACACGCGAGUCUCGUGGUGUCGCUGAGCUGCUGGUGCGAGACAGGGUCAGGUGUACAAGAUGGUCAAUCUCAGGACGAAGGCUCGAGGUGAAGGUUUCCACCUUCCGAUUUUCGACCACUUUUUCAACACGAUACGUCAACGUUUAGCAAUGGAAGAAAAAAAACGUCGAGACGAAAAGUACAAAUGAUAAAAGAAUCAAGAGAUCGAGGCACUGGGCUUCCUUUUUCCGAGUUUGAGCCACUCCUUUGGCGAUGCACGUGCUUCGAAAUGAAUCCGAAGAGCAAUAAUUUCCAGUGUCGUUUCAAAGCUUUAUGGCGAUAGCGAUGGGUAGCAAACGCGAUAAUUAUUCGUCUCAGAAGUGCCUGGAGGCAUUUGAGCGUCUCGCCGAAUAGUCGUUGGCGUCACGAACUGUUGAAAACGUCGAAUUAUAGAUGGGACAAAAUGAUCGAUGGAUAAUGGCUUUAAAAGUUCUCAGAGCAUUUUUUUAAUGACGUCCAACGUUGGAGUCCAACGAAAUGAUCGAAAAAAACUCUCCAUCAAU